rnacentral:rRNA from 1 species
GGGGGGGGGGGGGUUUAUCGGGAAUUAUGGGCGUAAGCGCACGCAGGCGGUUUGUUAAGUCAGAUGUGAACUUUUAGGAAAAAAACCUGGGAACUGCAUCUGAUACUGGCAAGCUUGAGUCAAGUAGAGGGGGGUAGAAUUCCAGGUGUAGCGGUGAAAUGCGUAGAGAUCUGGAGGAAUACCGGUGGCGAAGGCGGCCCCCUGGACGAAGACUGACGCUCAGGUGCGAAAGCGUGGGGAGCAAACAGGAUUAAAUACCCUGGUAGUCCACGCCGUAAACGAUGUCGACUUGGAGGUUGUGCCCUUGAGGCGUGGCUUCCGGAGCUAACGCGUUAAGUCGACCGCCUGGGGAGUACGGCCGCAAGGUUAAAACUCAAAUGAAUUGACGGGGGCCCGCACAAGCGGUGGAGCAUGUGGUUUAAUUCGAUGCAACGCGAAGAACCUUACCUGGUCUUGACAUCCACGGAAGUUUUCAGAGAUGAGAAUGUGCCUUCGGGAACCGUGAGACAGGUGCUGCAUGGCUGUCGUCAGCUCGUGUUGUGAAAUGUUGGGUUAAGUCCCGCAACGAGCGCAACCCUUAUCCUU